ensembl:lncRNA
UUUUUUUUUUUUUUGCUUUUUAGGGCUGUGCCCACAGCAUAUGGAGGUUCCCAGGCUAGGGGUCUAACCCAAGCUACAGCUGCCAGCCACAGCCACAGUCACAGCAAUGCCAGAUCCAAGCCAUGUCUGCAACCUACACCACAGCUCAUGGCAACACCGGAUCCUUAAUCCACUGAGCGAGGCCAGGGAUUGAACCCGCAACCUCAUGGUUCCUAGUCAAAUUUGAUUCCACUGUGUCACAACAGGAACUCCUGGAGUAAAUCUUUAAGACUUAAGUGUUUGGUUAGGUCUUCUUAGAUGUGACACUAUUUAUGAAAAAAUACAUAAACUGGACUUCAUCAAAACUAAAAACCUUUGUGCUUCAAAGGCUAAGUGAAAAUAUAACCCACAGAAUAGGAGAAAAUACCUGCAAAUCAUCUAUUGAUGAGGGAUGUGCCUCUGGAACAUAUGCUUAAAAAAAUAAAAACCUCUUGCUACUCAGUAAUAAAAAGAUAAGUAUCCCACUUUUAAAAUGGGCAAGGAAUUUAACAUGUAUUUCUCCAUAAAAGAUAUGCAAAUGUCCAAAAAGCAUAUAAAGAGAUACGCAAUAUCAUUAGCCAUCAGGGAGUGCAAACCAAGAUAACAAAGACACCACUUCAUACCCACUAAGACAACUACAGACAAUAACAAGUGUUGACAGGAAUGUGAAAAAGUGGAAUCCUCAUAACUCUGCUGUUAGGAAAUAAAAUGACACAGCUUCUUUGGAAAAUAAUCUCACAGUUCCUAAAACAGUUAUACACAGUAGAGAAUUAUUAUGAGACCGAGUAAUUCCACUCCUAAAUAGGCACUUAAAGCAAUGGAAACAUAUGUCCACACAAAAACUUGUUCAUAAAUGUUCUUAGUACCAGUAUUCACCAUAGCCAAAAAUUAGAAACGACCUAAAUAUCCAACAACUAUGAAUGGGUAAACAUAUGAUACAGCCACAAAAUAGGAUAAUAUUCCUAUAAAAUAAAAAGUAACGAAGUACUAAUAUCUGCUGCAACAUGGACGAACCUCAAAAACACCACGGUACGUUCAAGGGGCCAAACCCCAAAGACCACAUAUCUUAAGAGUCUAUUCAGGUGAAAUAUUCAGAAUUGGUAGAUGUAAGAGACAGAAAGCAGACUGGUAGUUAUCAGAAGCUGAGGGGAAGAGAAAAUGAAGAGCAACUGCCUAGUGGGGAUGGAGAUGCCUCUGGGGGUGAUGAAAUGUUUUGUAACUAGAGAGAGGUGGUAGUUACCUAACACUGAAUGGACUAAACUGCAAAUGAAUUAUUUACCUUAACAUGGUUAAUUUUUAAGCGUGGCCCCGGAAAAGGCAAAAGGACAAAAAAAAAAAAAAAAAAAAAAAAAAAAAAAGAGGCACACACAGCCAUCUGCAAGUACUCAAAGGAAAAUCUGAGUACUCAGACCCCACCAGAGGACUGACUCCUGUGUUAUGCACAGUGGAUGAAGCAAUUCCUGAACGGCUGCAGCACGGGACCAGUAAGCACGCGGUCUCCAUUCCUAAAGAAUUUUUAAAGGAGCACGAGCAGACUAAAACAGCAACUUUUUGCAUACGUGCAUGUCCCAUCCGUCUUAAGGGCUUCAUCUUUUCAGAAAUAGCUGCAAGAGGUAAGAAAGCUGCUAGCAACUUACAGAAACCAAACUGCAAGAACUUACCUGGACUCAAAGUUGUUUUCAACUUACUGUUAGGGAAGACAACAGUCUGGAAUCACAUGAUUCAUGAUGAUGCAUUAUAUUCAAGUUACACUGAAAUUAUGCUUUUUUUUUUCUCAUAACCUCUCCAUCCCAGCUGGUCAGGUUCUACAGGAGUUGCAAUUCACUGACAAAAUCUGUAUCUGAGGGUACUAAAAGAUUUUCAUAACAAAGGCUCUGGGGUGAGGAGCAAACAAAAUGUUUUUUAAGCAGCCAAGUUAGGAUUAUACUCAGUUGCUCAUACUCGAAAAUCCUUCUGCAACAGUUUUAAUAGAAAAGAAAUUGUUAUUUUCUUCACAUAAAGAGAAUUGCAAAGAUAGGCAGGCCAAGGCGGCUUCCACGACGACAUCACUGCCCCAGGCUCCUUCAUUCUUUCUCCUCAGUCACCCACACACACAGAUUUUAUCCACUUUCUAAAUGUCACAAAUGGUGGCAAGAAAGCCCAAGCACCAGGUCCAUUUUCCUGAUAAGGAGAAGAAAAUCAGUGGGGAAUGGGGGCGGCUGGGGACCCUUCACUUAGGCAAAUAAAAACAUACCCGAGCAACCACCCACAGGACUGCAUUGCACUGAGGCUACAAAGGCAAAUCUCUCAGCUGGGCACAUUACCACCCCAGAGAGUAUUUAAAGUAUGGGAAAGGAUUGAUGAAAAGUGGUAAAUAGGCGAAUUUCAGUGUUUUUCCGUCAAAAGUUUCUUACAAGAAAAGUCACCGCAGCAUUUCUGUCUAGAGAGCUUGCCCUGCAGUCGAACAUGUCAACCUAUCCUACUCACAAAAGAUCUUUCUCUUAUCUCCUGGAGCCUUAAUGCUACAAGACAGCAUUUUGAUCUGGAAGCUACACAUAAAUCCUUACCCAAUUUAUCAAAAGCUAAAGGAUCCUUAUCUAAUAAUAUCCUUUAUUAUUUGGUUAUAUGUCCAAAUACAAAAAAAAAAAUGUGAAGAUUAUUUUAAGGAAAAAAAUAUUGGUCCUAAAAUAGCUACUUAUAGGUAGUAACCUACAGAGCCUAAGAAAUACAAUGAAGAGCAUGGUGGCGGAAGCUGGAUGUAUAGGGUUUGUGGGAGAGGUGAAUCUGAGGGUUCUGCAGCAGCACCCUGACUCCCCAGAUCUGCCUUCCUGACCCCAAGGGAAACCUCUGAAACCACCUAUCAUCCUUAGCCCAGAUUUAUUAUCUGUUGGCUUUCUACCACACAGAUGUCAUAUGAUUUAUGUUAUUUUAAGAAAGAAAAGAGCCACUGGUGGCAAUAAUAUUCCUUAAAUAUAAGGGGUAUGCACUAGUUCACUGACUUUAACCAGGUAAUUUCCCAACUGCAUAUGUACUACAUUGGCCAUGCAGUGUGUGAAACAACUGCUUUUAUUUGCAGAGUAUUUUAUCAUCUCACUGGAUGACAUAGUUAUAGCACAAUAAAAAUAAAUAACCAAAAGGAGACAUAUUGUAGGUAUAAGCCUAGAGUGCUAACAUGACUAAAUGGAUAAGCUUAAGAGAAAUAAACUUGGAAACUAGCAAAGAUGGAUGAACAGGAGAGAAAUGGAAUUUGGCCAAAGUCAAAGAGACGAAAGCAGAGAUUUGUACUUU